rnacentral:rRNA from 1 species
UUCGUCACACUAUCAUUAACUGAAUCCAUAGGUUAAUGAGGCGAACCGGGGGAACUGAAACAUCUAAGUACCCCGAGGAAAAGAAAUCAACCGAGAUUCCCCCAGUAGCGGCGAGCGAACGGGGAGGAGCCCAGAGCCUGAAUCAGCAUGUGUGUUAGUGGAAGCGUCUGGAAAGGCGCGCGAUACAGGGUGACAGCCCCGUACACAAAAGCGCAUGUGCUGUGAGCUCGAUGAGUAGGGCGGGACACGUGGUAUCCUGUCUGAAUAUGGGGGGACCAUCCUCCAAGGCUAAAUACUCCUGACUGACCGAUAGUGAACCAGUACCGUGAGGGAAAGGCGAAAAGAACCCCGGCGAGGGGAGUGAAAAAGAACCUGAAACCGUGUACGUACAAGCAGUGGGAGCCCCACCAC